rnacentral:tRNA from 1 species
UCCCAGGUAGCUCAGAUGGUAAAGCGUCUGCCUACAAUGCAGGAGACCCGGGUUUGAUCCCUGGGUCAGGAA